GGAUCCAGACUUUGAUCCAUGGCUCGGGAUGAACGCUAGCUACAGGCUUAACACAUGCAAGUCGAGGGGCAGCAUGGUCUUAGCUUGCUAAGGCCGAUGGCGACCGGCGCACGGGUGGAGUAACACGUAUCCCAACCUGCCGUCUACUCUUGGAUAGCCUUCUGAAAGGAAGAUUAAUACAAGAUGGCAUCAUGAGUCCGCAUGUUCACAUGAUUAAAGGUAUUCCGGUAGACGAUGGGGAUGCGUUCCAUUAGAUAGUAGGCGGGGUAACGGCCCACCUAGUCUUCGAUGGAUAGGGGUUCUGAGAGGAAGGUCCCCCACAUUGGAACUGAGACACGGUCCAAACUCCUACGGGAGGCAGCAGUGAGGAAUAUUGGUCAAUGGGCGAGAGCCUGAACCAGCCAAGUAGCGUGAAGGAUGACUGCCCUAUGGGUUGUAAACUUCUUUUAUAAAGGAAUAAAGUCGGGUAUGGAUACCCGUUUGCAUGUACUUUAUGAAUAAGGAUCGGCCAACUCCGUGCCAGCAGCCGCGGUAAUACGGAGGAUCCGAGCGUUAUCCGGAUUUAUUGGGUUUAAAGGGAGCGUAGAUGGAUGUUUAAGUCAGUUGUGAAAGUUUGCGGCUCAACCGUAAAAUUGCAGUUGAUACUGGAUAUCUUGAGUGCAGUUGAGGCAGGCGGAAUUCGUGGUGUAGCGGUGAAAUGCUUAGAUAUCACGAAGAACUCCGAUUGCGAAGGCAGCCUGCUAAGCUGCAACUGACAUUGAGGCUCGAAAGUGUGGGUAUCAAACAGGAUUAGAUACCCUGGUAGUCCAGCACGGUAAACGAUGAAUACUCGCUGUUUGCGAUAUACAGCAAG
rnacentral:rRNA from 1 species